rnacentral:lncRNA from 1 species
GCAGUACCCCAAGAUUACAAAUAUAGAGAAAUGCAAAUACCGAAAAUAUAAAGACAUUGUCGCUUUCUUAUAUGGCUGUGACCAUGACUAGUUAGUCAUGGACUGGUGCCUCAAGAGGUUGGACUCCCAUAGGAAUAUAGCUUGUGAUUUAAUCUGUAACAGGUUGUUUCUCUUAUAAGGUAUGACAUUAUAAGCAAUGCUCACAUCCCUCAAUAUAUCUCUGCUGAUAAUUUCUGGGGGGCUAAGGGUGAAGAAGUUUCAUUUCAUUUAUUGAUUACUAUGAUUAGAAGUAGAUAUUUUCAUAACAUGAAGUAUCCAAUUUAAUAUCAGAAACAUGCUAAUAGAGAGAAAAAUGAUACCAAACAGAUAAAAAUAACUUAAUAGAGAGAGAAAAUUCAUUUAAGAUAUCAGGUACCUCUACAACAUUAGUUUUGCGAAGCAGCAACUCUGAAUCUCUAGCCUUAAGUUUGACCAUGCAUUCUGAAUUGCAAGGAAGUAUACCAAGUCCAAAUCGAUUCUUAGAAACAUCCUUUGGAUUAUUUCCGUUAGUAUGAUAUGCAUUUUGAACAUCUUGGCAUCGCCAUUCUUUUUUCAGGUUCUGACAAGCACAACGAACAGUAACCUUCAAACAUAGUAACAUACAUGAACAUUUGUUAGCAACUAUAAAAAAACAUAGAAAAAAAAACAGGACAGAUCAUGUGAUUAAAUUGAAACAGGAUGUAUUACCUAUUAGAAUAAAAUGCAUUACCUUUUUAUUACAAGUAUCAAUUGAUGGGCAUUGACCAGGAUGGCAUAUCUCUGGGCAAAGAUGAGGACAAUUCAGCAACUUUCUGAAGUUUACAAAGCACAAGAAAUUCAUAAGUAAUGUAAUAAUAAAAGUGGGACCGAAAUGAUAUGAUACAAUAUAAAAAUAGAUAAAGGAACCAAGAAAAUUAUGUCAUCCUGUUAAAGCAUAUAUAAUCAUGAUAUAAAUAUAUAAUGUGUGUGAAUGUUGUUGAUUAUAUGUUAUCUUAUUUCCAGGUGUACAAGUCAAUGAUACGGACGCUUCAUGGCCAGUUCUUAAUCGAUACAUUAGCUUUAUAGUUAGUGGGCUGAGUCCAGUAAGAGCUUGUAACAUUUAGUAUAUAAAUUAAAUCCUGGAAAUAAUAAAUCAAUCGAAUCAUUUGAGGAUUUUUCCGCGAUUUCCUUUCUCUUUUCGAUGUUCACCAUCGACUGUCUCAAUCGCUGGUCGGAAUCUUAUCUGUGACAUGAC